rnacentral:rRNA from 1 species
UGCCAGCCGCCGCGGUAAUACGGAGGGCGCGAACGUUGCUCGGAAUUAUUGGGCGUAAAGCGCGCGUAGGCGGCUUUUUAAGUCGGAUGUGAAAGCCCUCGGCUUAACCGAGGAAGUGCAUUCGAAACUGAAAAGCUUGAAUAUGGGAGAGGAUAGCGGAAUUCCCGGUGUAGAGGCGAAAUUCGUAGAUAUCGGGAGGAACACCAGUGGCGAAGGCGGCUGUCUGGACCAAUAUUGACGCUGAGGUGCGAAAGCGUGGGGAGCAAACAGGAUUAGAUA